rnacentral:rRNA from 1 species
GAUGAACGCUAGCUACAGGCUUAACACAUGCAAGUCGAGGGGUAACGAGAGGGAAGCUUGCUUUCCUUGUCGACGACCGGCGCACGGGUGAGUAACGCGUAUCCAACCUGCCCCCAACUAGGGAAUAACCUUGCGAAAGUAAGACUAAUACCCUAUAAUUUCCUCAGAUGUCAUCUGACGAGGAAUAAAGAUUUAUCGGUUGUGGAUGGGGAUGCGUCUGAUUAGCUUGUUGGCGGGGUAACGGCCCACCAAGGCAACGAUCAGUAGGGGUUCUGAGAGGAAGGUCCCCCACAUGGGAACUGAGACACGGUCCAAACUGCUACGGGAGGCAGCAGUGAGGAAUAUUGGUCAAUGGGCGGAAGCCUGAACCAGCCAAGUAGCGUGCAGGAUGACGGCCCUAUGGGUUGUAAACUGCUUUUAUACAGGAAUAAAGUUAGCCACGUGUGGUUAUUUGUAGGUACUGUAUGAAUAAGGACCGGCUAAUUCCGUGCCAGCCGCCGCAGUAA